rnacentral:misc_RNA from 1 species
GCAACCCCUCAAGCACGGCUUGUGUGUUGGAUCAUCGUGCCGACGCGUCUCCUUUCCGGGGGGCGGUCGUGGGUACGGGUCUGAAAUGCAGUGGCGGCGUCACGGCUCGACCUCGCAAGCGUAUGGGGCUCUGUCACACGCUGGGCGGUCGGGCGUACCUACGCCUGUCAAAAACCAUCUUCCUCA